UACGAGGGGUGCAAGCGUUGCUCGGAAUUAUUGGGCGUAAAGGGUAGGUAGGUGGUCUCAUUUGUCAGGGGUGAAAGCCUUGGGCUUAACCCAAGAAGUGCCCUUGAAACGGUGAGACUGGAGUCUUGGAGAGGGUCGUGGAAUUCCCGGUGUAGCGGUGAAAUGCGUAGAGAUCGGGAGGAACACCAGAGGCGAAGGCGGCGACCUGGACAAGUACUGACACUCAACUACGAAAGCGUGGGUAGCAAACAGG
rnacentral:rRNA from 1 species